UACAGAGGGUGCAAGCGUUAAUCGGAAUUACUGGGCGUAAAGCGUGCGUAGACGGUCAUGUAAGUCGGGUGUGAAAGCCCCGGGCUCAACCUGGGAAUUGCAUUCGAGACUGCAUGGCUAGGAUGCGGAAGAGGGAAGCGGAAUUUCCGGUGUAGCGGUGAAAUGCGUAGAUAUCGGAAGGAACACCAGUGGCGAAAGCGGCUUCCUGGUCCAGCAUCGACGUUCAGGCACGAAAGCGUGGGGAGCAAAAGGG
rnacentral:rRNA from 1 species